UCAAAUGAAGCACUCAAUAAUCUUUACAGCCAAGUCUCCUGUUUGCAUAUGUAUAUUUUGCACAGUGGCGAUUGCUCUAAGACUGCAAGGGAAGCUCGGCUUCCCUUAAAAUGUCACCCCCCAAAAAAAGAAAAAGUGGUGAAAUACGUACGGCUGUGUGUACAUUUCAUUAACUAAAUACGCACUAGAAAGCCUUCAACUUUUGUUCAGACACUGUGAUAAGAAUCUGAUAAUCACAGGUAACCGGCAUAACUUCGUUCUCAUUCAUCCUCGCAGCGCCUCAGCGCUUCAAACAGUCGGACGCUGGGCUUCUGCUGACUUCAAUGUGGAAGCUUAAAGUAGGUUGUUCCAGCAGCGAAACUAGACGCUCAUUGGAUAAAUGCUGGGCUUUGUCCCGCCCAAUGGAAGCUAAGCUUCACUGGAGUUCUAUGGCGAGAGGGCGGUCCCGACUUUCUCCCGGACUCCAAGCUUCUGCAUUCAUGAUUGGAUGAGCUGUCUGAGGCGAAAUCCUUUUUUGAUUGACAGCUAAACAAGCGAAUCAGCGAUCUUGAAGAAUAAAACAUCUACCAGAGCAUUUUCCAAGUCAUUCAUUCCGUUGUUCUUAACUGCUCUAGAGACUUUACCGAUCCUCAGCGACUUUUGUCUUUGUUAAAAACGACUGCCGUUGUGUUUGGCGACUCUGUUCUGUUACAUACUAAUAAACAAAUACAAUUAUGAUGUAGGCCAGAAAAAUGAGCUUCCCCUCCUUGAAAGACCAGCAGCCGCCACUGAUUUUGCACUAAAGUUCACGUGCCCUUAACACAAACCCUGAAUUGCCUUAAUGAUGAAUAAAAAUGUACCCUCA